rnacentral:rRNA from 2 species
UUCCAGCUCCAAUAGCGUAUAUUAAAGUUGUUGCGGUUAAAAAGCUCGUAGUUGAAUCUGUGUCCCGUGCUGUCGGUUCACCGCCCGCGGUGCUAACUGGCACGUCUCACGGGACGUCCUGCCGGUGGAAGGUUAAUCACCGUGUGCUGUCUGGGGUCUGCGACGUUUGCGCGUACAGAAUUCCCGGGUGUUCGAUGAUCCUUCCGACUUUUUUAAAUCCUGUCGCGGUGCUCUUAAUUGAGUGUCGAGGCGGGCCGGCACGUUUACUUUGAACAAAUUAGAGUGCUCAAAGCAGGCUAAAAUUUCGCCUGAAUACUGUGUGCAUGGAAUAAUGAAACAGGACCUCGGUUCUAUUUUGUUGGUUUUCGGAACCCCGAGGUAAUGAUUAAUAGGGACGGCCGG